AUUGAACGCUGGCGGCAGGCCUAACACAUGCAAGUCGAGCGGAUGAAGGGAGCUUGCUCCUGGAUUCAGCGGCGGACGGGUGAGUAAUGCCUAGGAAUCUGCCUGGUAGUGGGGGAUAACGUCCGGAAACGGGCGCUAAUACCGCAUACGUCCUGAGGGAGAAAGUGGGGGAUCUUCGGACCUCACGCUAUCAGAUGAGCCUAGGUCGGAUUAGCUAGUUGGUGGGGUAAAGGCCUACCAAGGCGACGAUCCGUAACUGGUCUGAGAGGAUGAUCAGUCACACUGGAACUGAGACACGGUCCAGACUCCUACGGGAGGCAGCAGUGGGGAAUAUUGGACAAUGGGCGAAAGCCUGAUCCAGCCAUGCCGCGUGCGUGAAGAAGGUUUUCGGAUUGUAAAGCACUUUAAGUUGGGAGGAAGGGCAGUAAGUUAAUACCUUGCUGUUUUGACGUUACCAACAGAAUAAGCACCGGCUAACUUCGUG
rnacentral:rRNA from 1 species